rnacentral:pre_miRNA from 1 species
UAGGUACUCCCUCCGUUCGGAAUUACUUGUCUCGGAUAUGGAUGUAUCUAGAACUAAAAUACAUCUAGAUACAUCCAUUUCUGCGACAAGUAAUUCCGAACGGAGGAAGUAUAAA